rnacentral:misc_RNA from 1 species
AGCGGAACGAGAGGGGGCUUUAUCCUUGAUACUUCUGUCUGACUCAUUUCAUCCUAUGUUUCGACAUUUCCAAGAGCACAGCCCAAAUUCAGGUGGUACAUUCAGUGUCAGUAACAGAUCGAGCGAAGGGGAUCGGACAGUGGACAGUUCUGCAACCCCAUUUCACAAAAUCUUCAAUUUCUUUGAAAUUAUCUAAUGGUAGCAAGCUCGAUCGAAUGGCGGGGAAAA